UACGAAGGGUGCAAGCGUUACUCGGAAUUAUUGGGCGUAAAGCGCGCGCAGGCGGUCCUUUAAGUCCGAUGUGAAAGCCCACGGCUCAACCGUGGAGGGUCAUUGGAAACUGGGGGACUUGAGUGCAGAAGAGGAAAGUGGAAUUCCACGUGUAGCGGUGAAAUGCGUAGAGAUGUGGAGGAACACCAGUGGCGAAGGCGACUUUCUGGUCUGUAACUGACGCUGAGGCGCGAAAGCGUGGGGAGCAAACAGG
rnacentral:rRNA from 1 species